GGUAAGGCCCUUCGGGGUACACGAGCGGCGAACGGGUGAGUAACACGUGGGUGAUCUGCCUCGCACUUCGGGAUAAGCCUGGGAAACUGGGUCUAAUACCGGAUAUGACCUUUCAGUGCAUGCUGUUGGGUGGAAAGAUUUAUCGGUGCGAGAUGGGCCCGCGGCCUAUCAGCUUGUUGGCGGGGUAACGGCCCACCAAGGCGACGACGGGUAGCCGACCUGAGAGGGUGACCGGCCACACUGGGACUGAGACACGGCCCAGACUCCUACGGGAGGCAGCAGUGGGGAAUAUUGCACAAUGGGCGGAAGCCUGAUGCAGCGACGCCGCGUGAGGGAUGACGGCCUUCGGGUUGUAAACCUCUUUCGACAGGGACGAAGCGCAAGUGACGGUACCUGUAGAAGAAGCACCGGCCAACUACGUGCCAGCAGCCGCGGUAAUACGUAGGGUGCGAGCGUUGUCCGGAAUUACUGGGCGUAAAGAGCUUGUAGGCGGUUUGUCGCGUCGUCCGUGAAAACUUGGGGC
rnacentral:rRNA from 1 species